rnacentral:rRNA from 1 species
AUACGGAGGGUGCGAGCGUUAAUCGGAAUUACUGGGCGUAUAGCGCGCGUAGGCGGUUCGAUAAGUCUGAUGUGAAAGCCCUGGGCUCAACCCAGGAAUUGCAUUUGAAACUGUUGGUCUAGAGUGGUGGAGAGGGAAGUGGAAUUCCUGGUGUAGAGGUGAAAUUCGUAGAUAUCAGGAGGAACACCGGUGGCGAAGGCGGCUUCCUGGACACCUACUGACGCUGAGGUGCGAAAGCGUGGGGAGCAAACAGGAUUAGAAACCCCAGUAGUCC